GCUUCCUUGGCUCAGUUGGCUAGAGCGCAGGUCUCACAUAUGCGCGUAUAUAUGAACGGUUUUCGACUGUGUAAUCCUGGGGUCGCAAGUUCGAGCCUUACAGGGAGCA